rnacentral:misc_RNA from 1 species
UUUCCGUAGGUGAACCUGCGGAAGGAUCAUUCAUAAUAAGUGUUUUAUGGCACUUUUAAAUCCAUAUCCACCUUGUGUGCAAUGUCAGGGUUGAUUUUUCUCUCGAGAGGAUCAGCCCCAAACAUCAACUAUAUCUCAACUCUUUGUCUGAAAAAUAUUAUGAAUAAAACAAUUCAAAAUACAACUUUCAACAACGGAUCUCUUGGCUCUC